rnacentral:lncRNA from 1 species
UUUUAAGGCGCAGCCGAAGUGGGUUACUGCAGAGUGUCCGUAACGUUUCUCAUGAUGAAAAUAUAAAGGUGAUUUAGCAUGUAAAUACUACUUUGCCAAAUCAUCUAAACUUCUAGUUGAAAGCGCCUGUACAUUUUGCCGAAAUGUCGUGCCUUUUUUGGCUGUCCUUGUAUGUCUUACUGCCUGUAGAUUCAACAAUACGUAAUCUAGCCUGUAAAUUUUACUUGUCGAAGUAAUCUGAGCACCGUGGGCCAAAACUGCUCUCCAUUUGGCCGAAACUUCGUCUAUUCUCUAUUGCUAUCUGUACGGAUUGGUUGCAAAUCUCAUCCCAUGCAGAUACUUUGGAUUAAUGAAAGUAGUAGUUUGCUGAUCUAUGGAUUAAUUUGAGAACAGGGGUCACGAGAUGAACUCUGAUCAGAUGUAAAAAAUUAGUGAUAUGCUCUACCAAUGUGUUCAACAGGAUCAGAAGUAACAUCAGUGAUGCCAAGAAUCUUUAAGGACUUGAAAAAGGUUUCUCAUUUUACAGUCAUGGUGAUCCUAAAGAAGAUGACAAUUAAGAAGUUUUAGUUUUUUAUGCAGAGACAAAUGAUGGUGUUAAUGGCUGAAAACAAUGGGAUGUACAUGGCUCAUUUUAUUGUCACUCUGGGUGGUGGACAUGUUAUAAAAUGUUUCCACAAUAAUGCAGUCAACUAUUAUCAAUUUGAUUACUAGAUGACCUGUUUAUUUCUUCCUUUUAUACUCCAUCAUUUGGGUUUAUUGUGAUGAACUGACAGAUGGAUGGUGGAAGCAUAGUUUGAUAUAGGGAUCCAUUCUUUCAUGGUUUCGAUUCGGACUAGCCCGGUGCAUCAGUGGGCCCUCUUCCGACAAACCCAGAUCAGGUUCAUUAUCAAUGAUAUUUUCGAAUUUUAUUAGAAAAUGACUAAUUGGCUUUCUUUUGUGAACAUAUGUUGGAGAUGGACCGGAAAUUCCAGAAUCGGAUGAGAUUUACGGCGGUGACAGUAGAACAGGAUGCAUAUUCGGAAGUCAUGGGCUGGCUGAUGGGCCCGCAACACGUCCAGUAGCCACAUCAAGACUCGGAGACGUACGUCGGCCGUCUUGACUGAGUUGAUACCUGGACGCAUCCCGACUCUUCACUCGCUUCGACGACGACAAAGAAUUUUUCCGUAGUGAAGCAGGAGCGAUAACUGGGAGCAGCUGCUGAAUGAUUCUGGAACCACGAACAUACUCGUCCGUUUGGUGCGCCAAUUCGCCAAUUACUUGUUUGGUCGUUUACAUCGCAACCGACUCUAACAUCACGGCAAUGAAUCGAAACUAGGACGCUAUUUUGUUGCCGGGAGUAAUCAAAGAUAUCCCAUCGGUGCUGGAUUGUGGAUCGAAUCAUUCGUUCGGCUGAAGAAUAACUCGAUUCUCUCGGAUGACCUGGCGCAACAACUCACAGAUCUCGUUCGGGAUCAACUCGCUUAUUCAAUCCCGCUAUUUGGGGAUCCAGCGAAGAAAACUUUAACUCCUCGGAUGAAUUUUUCAGUGUCGUACCAAAUGAGAUCGUUGUCCACCAUUAAACAACGGAUGCCACUGCUUCUAGGUAAUCUGCUGGACCGUAUUCCGGCUUAAAAGAUUCAUUUAAUAUUUUUGAUUGUUUGAAAUUGCCGUGAACUUGUUUAUUGGUUUUUUGUUUGUUUUCUGCAAUUCGUCUUGUUGUGGAGCGCCUAGAGUAGCAUAUCCAUAUCUGAGUAAGUGUCUUACAGUUUGCGUAUUGGUCCAGUCGAAGGUUCUGGAGAAAGUCUAAUUGGCGGCGA